GACGAAGGGGGCAAGCGUUAUUCGGAAUUAUUGGGCGUAAAGGGCGCGUAGGCGGCAUGGCAAGUGGAUGGUGAAAUCCCUCGGCUUAACCGAGGAACUGCCGUCCAAACUGCUUCGCUUGAGACCGGGAGAGGUGAGUGGAAUUCCCAGUGUAGCGGUGAAAUGCGUAGAUAUUGGGAGGAACACCAGUGGCGAAGGCGGCUCACUGGACCGGUACUGACGCUGAAGCGCGAAAGCGUGGGGAGCAAACGGG
rnacentral:rRNA from 1 species